GCAGUCGUGGCCGAGUGAUUAAGGCGGUGGUCUAGAAAUCCAUUGGGGUCUCCCCGCACAGGUUCGAAUAGUGUCGACUGUG
rfam:Ixodes scapularis strain Wikel colony gcontig_1108379492076, whole genome shotgun sequence.